UGCAAGCUAUCCGUGUAGCCCACAGUACCCUGCAUGCGUCCUUCAAAGUGGGAGGACAGCCCACAGCCUGCAGGCUGCCUUAAGCACUGCUGUGUAACGUAACUGUCUCACCUCCAGCCACGGAAGAGCCAUGCUUCCUUGAGCCACGUACUCCAGACCCAGCAGAGCUGACCAACCAUCGUUCCUGUGCUUUGUAAAAGAGGACAGCAGAUCACGACACGUUCUUCCACGGGUCUGCCUGGGAACAUCUGGAGUUAUCUUCCUGCUGCCACAAGGGUUCACUAUUUCUAUUGAACUGGCCAUGGAUGGAGAAGGAAAUAGCUCUGAGCCCUCCAGAAGCCAUCUGACACAGCAGCAUUGGUCUUGGCGAGGGGAUUUACAAAAUGAUUUAUCCUUCCUGGGGAGCAGAAAGAACAGACAAAGCUUGGACAGCAUCCCAACAGGAUGUGCAGCACUCGCCAUUAGAGGAGCAACCUGCCUCCCAAUGAAGGUGAUCAUGAAAUAAUUGGAGGGAAUAACUCUGGGAAUAACUCUGGAACUCCCCAGUGCCAGUUUCAUUCUGGACUCUAAGGACACAAUCCAAACUUUUGACUUUGGGGAGAGAGAGAGUUAUCGACACAACACGUUAAACAACCUUAACUCCAGCACGCAAUGGCACCACUAUAACACUUGUUUAUUAGCAAAAUGCAUCUGAUCUCAAAGGCCUGCAUGACAACUUCAUUACAUAUCAAUUUAAUUAGCUGAUUUACAUUUAAUUUACAUUUCAAUUAAUGUCUUUAGCAACAAAACGUUGCCUUAAUAGGGUAAUUGCCUGUUAGGCAAUAUGUAAAAGAAUAAAUAGUCACAUUCUGAGGAAGAAUUCCUAUUUUCAAUUUUUUAUUACCAUAAAUAACCUAAAUAAUUAUUGCUCUUAAGGGGCCAUGUCCCAGUUCCCUUCUGGGCCUAAUUAUAAAGACUUAGUACCUCAUUAAGCAAAAUGGUUUUGGAGUCAGAGAAAAGCAUUACUCUAAUCGUGACUCAUUAGUUUCAACAAAAGAGGGGAAAACUGCACAAGUCUGCACAUUUCACCCUACUCUUCUUGUGGUUCAGCAGCUGCAGUACAUUCAAGUAGUGGCCAUUACAGCUCUGUGGGCAUUUUUGUAACGAAGCCCUGUUUUCAGAGGGGUUUUUUGUAUGUCAUUAAAAGAGUCGUGUCCAACUGGCACGUGCACCCCUGGCAUGGAGCAAGAAGCUUGAACAAACAUUUGAUUUUCUGUUCCCUAAGAGCUCAUCUUUCGCCCAUGUGGCUACAGGCACAGUGGCUUGGACUGAGGCUGUUAAUGUAGAAUCCAUCUUCUUCUACCAUGCCAAGAAGGUUGCUUUCAUCACCCUAACAUAUCCACAGAAAAUGGAUGUGCCUUUCAGGCUGGGUUUGAAUUUAGUGAUGCUUUAUUAAAGUCAUUCUUCCUUGUAUCUAGAUAGUAAAAACUGACCGCAGGCUUGGGUGUGACCAGACUGUGACUUUAAGCCUCUUAGUGCUGGAUCCAAAGCACUGUGGCAGUGUGAUGUGAAACACUGAUCUCGCAUUCACUCACUCUGAUGGUUUGGCAUGGUGCUGGCAGGGUUUACGCUACAUUGGGCAUUGCCUCUCUGCACUAGUCUGAUGUUACACUGGAUUCAGUCUCGUCUGUCCUUGGGCAGCCACUGCAAAGCCAAUGUUAAAGGAUGCAGCUGGCACAAACUGUGUGUCAGGAGCUCUGGCUGCUUCAAUGUACACGUCUGUGCUGUGUUUGGAUGAAGUUUGUUCUGCUAGUGAUCAGUGGUGCAGAGGUCCAGAACUGGUGACUGGAACUAAGGCAUCUGACUGCAUUGCUCGAAAUGGUGUCAUCUAAGAAAAAAAACCAACAGAGAGACUGAUUAAGAUUUUGUUCAGCAAAUAAUGAAUUAAUAUUUUUUUAGGACUAUAGAGAGCUUUUAGAAAGAGAACUGUUUAACUAAUGAGAAAACAAUCUUUUCAGACAGUGUUAGUUUCCUCAUUAACCUUUAACAAUGACUUAUAGAUAAAAGAAACCCAAACUCAAGACGGUGCUAUUCUUGCUGACAUUGCAGAUAAAGCCAGAGCUAGAAACAGGACUCUUUUUUUUUUUUUUUUUUUUAUUAACAACGGCAUUGUGCAGCUUCUAAGAACAGAUAAUUGGUGGGGGUUUUCUUUUCCUUUUUUUUAAGUGACUGGUACUGUCCUCUUUUUGCAGGUAGUUAAAAUGGCAGCACAGAAAUGUUAAGCAAUGCUUUGUAUCUUAGGGCUGUAAGGAGAAUCCCUACCCUCAUAGUUCAGCCAUCCUGCUCUAAAGUCUACUGAAGUCAGCAACGGUUUAAGUGGAUUUUGGAACUCAUCUUCAAUCUCAGGGUCUUCAGACAACUCAGUGAGGCAAACACUGCUCAAUACUAUGUCAGAUGCUCAACUGAUGUAACUCACUCAACUCCAGAGGUAAUUCACCUGAACUAUGUGCUUGGGAACACUAAUUACCAGAGACAGGGCAAGUUCCAGUUCCUUGGUGGUUCAUUUUCCUGUGACUGGGUGCUGUAUGCAUAUACUAUUAAGGCAGUGAAAAUCAGGUGAGAGUCACUUCCUUCUAAUACUAAAUGCAACCUUUCAUUGGGAUAAGGAAGGCAGUGCUGUCUUGAGAGAGGAGAAGAGAAAGAAGCUUCCCCUUCAGAAAAAAAAAAAUCCUAUUACUUUCAGAAGUUAAUUGCUUAGGACUCGGAUGUGUCUCCUAGUACUCUGCAUUUUAGCUUCUACAUUUGAUGGAUCUGGAAUUCACUUCCAAUCUGCUAACUCAAUUUUUGCUUUUUAAAGCUCAUUUAAAACAUUUCCUACUUUCUUCCUAUGCCUGUGAUUAACACUGAUGCACUCUACCCUUUCUUUCCUACUGCUUCUUAUAUUCGCCCCUUGCUGCAGACAGCAAGGAUUCUAAUUGGCAUCUGCUCUUCUUUUUGGGUUUCCAUUUUCUUCUUUCUUCCUGCUCCAUUUUCUCUCUGUUGCUACCUGGGCUGCUCUAUACCACCCUGUUAUACUUUCUAGCCCAGAUCUGCCUAGUGCUGUAAAGGAUUUGAUGAUUUUCUUUAGGAAAGACUCUAAUAAUAGGCAAAAUCCUGCCCCUUUACAAAUCUUCCUUACAAUAAAAUGUAAAAAAUAUGUUCUGCCCUCCAGAGUGAAAUCCAUUCGAAACCAAAAGUUCUUAUUAAGAAAAAGAAAAUCCCUCUACAUUCUUGAUGGACUGAAGAAAUUUUAAAGGAGCCAUGUUAUAAUUGAUGGGGAAUUGGAGCAUAGAUCUCAGAGCUCCCUAUUAGACUCCACUAAUACCUUCAGUUGUUUCAGUUUUCUUUUUGAAUACAGCAAAAAACUUCCAUUUAUAACAGGAAAACAAACUAGCCAAAAAGUCCUUGAGGUUCUCUAGUGAUUUUGCUGUUGUCAAUCAAGUUAACAUGGAAGAUGCUCAAACACAGCUACUUUAAUGGGCAGAUGGACAAACCUCCUGACAUACUCUAGAGAGGCUUCUGAAGAACAAGCAGCUAGAUGCCAUGUGAGCUGGAUGAGGCUAACUGAGCCCAAAGCCUAGGACUAUAAUGGGAUAUGAUGGAUUUCAAGCUUUAACUGUCACUUCAGGUGGCCUGUGCCAAAGCUGUGAUUUCUCAGCCCCCUAUUCGCCUUCUGCCUCAGCCACACUGCCCAAAGGUGAUGCUUUCCCCCCUGAAGAUUGGUGUUUGAUGCUUGUUUUCUGGUUAUGCUCAGAAGUAGCUUGGUUAAGACAACUUGAACAAGCUCAAAGCCGUUUUAUGCCUCAGCUUUCAGGGCCUCAGAGCCAGCACUGCCCCCCAGCAUCUCCUUUGGCAACGCCAGGUGCUGCAAUGUACGAGCUCUCUCCUCUGCUCUCUGCUAAGUAAGCAGCACUUUACCAUCUAAUUUCUUAACACAAUUUACAAAGUCACAAUGUUUACAGACAGAACAUUCCAUUAGACCAUUAGGGUAGCUUCCUGUACAUCAGGGACCAUUAAAUAGUGUUGCUACUCUUCUUGCUGUUUGAAUAAAAUAUAUUUUGUUUUGGCAAAGUA